UUGAAGAGUUUGAUCAUGGCUCAGAUUGAACGCUGGCGGCAGGCCUAACACAUGCAAGUCGAACGGUAACAGGAAGAAGCUUGCUUCUUUGCUGACGAGUGGCGGACGGGUGAGUAAUGUCUGGGAAACUGCCUGAUGGAGGGGGAUAACUACUGGAAACGGUAGCUAAUACCGCAUAACGUCGCAAGACCAAAGAGGGGGACCUUCGGGCCUCUUGCCAUCGGAUGUGCCCAGAUGGGAUUAGCUUGUUGGUGGGGUAACGGCUCACCAAGGCGACGAUCCCUAGCUGGUCUGAGAGGAUGACCAGCCACACUGGAACUGAGACACGGUCCAGACUCCUACGGGAGGCAGCAGUGGGGAAUAUUGCACAAUGGGCGCAAGCCUGAUGCAGCCAUGCCGCGUGUAUGAAGAAGGCCUUCGGGUUGUAAAGUACUUUCAGCGGGGAGGAAGGGAGUAAAGUUAAUACCUUUGCUCAUUGACGUUACCCGCAGAAGAAGCACCGGCUAACUCCGUGCCAGCAGCCGCGGUAAUACGGAGGGUGCAAGCGUUAAUCGGAAUUACUGGGCGUAAAGCGCACGCAGGCGGUUUGUUAAGUCAGAUGUGAAAUCCCCGGGCUCAACCUGGGAACUGCAUCUGAUACUGGCAAGCUUGAGUCUCGUAGAGGGGGUAGAAUUCCAGUGUAGCGGUGAAAUGCGUAGAGAUCUGGAGGAAUACCGGUGGCGAAGGCGGCCCCCUGGACGAAGACUGACGCUCAGGUGCGAAAGCGUGGGGAGCAAACAGGAUUAGAUACCCUGGUAGUCCACGCCGUAAACGAUGUCGACUUGGAGGUUGUGCCCUUGAGGCGUGGCUUCCGGAGCUAACGCGUUAAGUCGACCGCCUGGGGAGUACGGCCGCAAGGUUAAAACUCAAAUGAAUUGACGGGGGCCCGCACAAGCGGUGGAGCAUGUGGUUUAAUUCGAUGCAACGCGAAGAACCUUACCUGGUCUUGACAUCCACGGAAGUUUUCAGAGAUGAGAAUGUGCCUUCGGGAACCGUGAGACAGGUGCUGCAUGGCUGUCGUCAGCUCGUGUUGUGAAAUGUUGGGUUAAGUCCCGCAACGAGCGCAACCCUUAUCCUUUGUUGCCAGCGGUCCGGCCGGGAACUCAAAGGAGACUGCCAGUGAUAAACUGGAGGAAGGUGGGGAUGACGUCAAGUCAUCAUGGCCCUUACGACCAGGGCUACACACGUGCUACAAUGGCGCAUACAAAGAGAAGCGACCUCGCGAGAGCAAGCGGACCUCAUAAAGUGCGUCGUAGUCCGGAUUGGAGUCUGCAACUCGACUCCAUGAAGUCGGAAUCGCUAGUAAUCGUGGAUCAGAAUGCCACGGUGAAUACGUUCCCGGGCCUUGUACACACCGCCCGUCACACCAUGGGAGUGGGUUGCAAAAGAAGUAGGUAGCUUAACCUUCGGGAGGGCGCUUACCACUUUGUGAUUCAUGACUGGGGUGAAGUCGUAACAAGGUAACCGUAGGGGAACCUGCGGUUGGAUCACCUCCUU
rnacentral:rRNA from 1 species